rnacentral:rRNA from 1 species
GACGUAGGAUGCAAGCGUUGUCCGGAAUUAUUGGGCGUAAAGAGUUCGUAGGCGGUUAUUUAAGUCUGGUGUUAAAUACUGGCGCUCAACGUCAGCAUGGCAUUGGAAACUGGAUGACUAGAGUGUGGCAGAGGUCAAGGGAAUUCCAGGUGUAGCGGUGAAAUGCGUAGAUAUCUGGAGGAACACCGGUGGCGAAGGCGGAUCUCUGGGCCAUUACUGACGCUGAGGAGCGAAAGCGUGGGGAGCGAACAGG